rnacentral:pre_miRNA from 11 species
CGCAAUAUUUUGUAUGGAAGACUAGUGAUUUUGUUGUUUUGCUUACGAUAAUAACAAUAAAUCUCAAGUCUUUCUACAAAGUUUGCU